rnacentral:rRNA from 1 species
GACGAACGUUGGCGGCGUGCUUAAUACAUGCAAGUCCACUGGAGCAGUGGUAGCAAUAUCGCUGUGGAGGUGGCGCACGGGUGAGUAACACGUAGGUAAUCUGCCUUCAGGUCUGGCAUAACUCCGGGAAACCGGGGCUAAUAGCAGAUGAUGCAGCGGCUCGACAUCGAGACAGUUGUUAAAGCUAUGGCGCCUGAAGAUGAGCCUGCGUCUGAUUAGCUAGUUGGCGGGGUAACGGCCCACCAAGGCAACGAUCAGUAGCUGGUCUGAGAGGAUGAUCAGCCACACUGGAACUGAGACACGGUCCAGACUCCUACGGGAGGCAGCAGUAAGGAAUAUUGCUCAAUGGGAGAAAUCCUGAAGCAGCAACGCCGCGUGAGGGACGAAGGGCUUUUGCUUGUAAACCUCUGUAGUGAGAGAAAAAAAUCCCAAUCUUUGGGACAUGAUGGUAUCUCAAAAGUAAGCCCCGGCUAACUACGU